UUAAGUUAUUAAGGGCGCACGGUGGAUGCCUUGGCACUAGAAGCCGAUGAAGGACGUUACUAACGACGAUAUGCUUUGGGGAGCUGUAAGUAAGCUUUGAUCCAGAGAUUUCCGAAUGGGGAAACCCAGCAUGAGUUAUGUCAUGUUAUCGAUAUGUGAAUACAUAGCAUAUCAGAAGGCACACCCGGAGAACUGAAACAUCUUAGUACCCGGAGGAAGAGAAAGAAAAUUCGAUUCCCUUAGUAGCGGCGAGCGAAACGGGAAGAGCCCAAACCAAAAAGCUUGCUUGUUGGGGUUGUAGGACACUCUAUACGGAGUUACAAAGGACGACAUUAGACGAAUCAUCUGGAAAGAUGAAUCAAAGAAGGUAAUAAUCCUGUAGUCGAAAAUGUUGUCUCUCUUGAGUGGAUCCUGAGUAAGACGGAGCACGUGAAAUUCCGUCGGAAUCUGGGAGGACCAUCUCCUAAGGCUAAAUACUCUCUAGUGACCGAUAGUGAACCAGUACCGUGAGGGAAAGGUGAAAAGCACCCCGGAAGGGGAGUGAAAUAGAACCUGAAACCGUGUGCUUACAAGUAGUCAGAGCCCGUUAAUGGGUGAUGGCGUGCCUUUUGUAGAAUGAACCGGCGAGUUACGAUUUGAUGCAAGGUUAAGCAGUAAAUGUGGAGCCGUAGCGAAAGCGAGUCUGAAUAGGGCGUUUAGUAUUUGGUCGUAGACCCGAAACCAGGUGAUCUACCCUUGGUCAGGUUGAAGUUCAGGUAACACUGAAUGGAGGACCGAACCGACUUACGUUGAAAAGUGAGCGGAUGAACUGAGGGUAGCGGAGAAAUUCCAAUCGAACCUGGAGAUAGCUGGUUCUCUCCGAAAUAGCUUUAGGGCUAGCCUCAAGUGAUGAUUAUUGGAGGUAGAGCACUGUUUGGACGAGGGGCCCCUCUCGGGUUACCGAAUUCAGACAAACUCCGAAUGCCAAUUAAUUUAACUUGGGAGUCAGAACAUGGGUGAUAAGGUCCGUGUUCGAAAGGGAAACAGCCCAGACCACCAGCUAAGGUCCCAAAAUAUAUGUUAAGUGGAAAAGGAUGUGGCGUUGCCCAGACAACUAGGAUGUUGGCUUAGAAGCAGCCAUCAUUUAAAGAGUGCGUAAUAGCUCACUAGUCGAGUGACACUGCGCCGAAAAUGUACCGGGGCUAAACAUAUUACCGAAGCUGUGGAUUGUCCUUUGGACAAUGGUAGGAGAGCGUUCUAAGGGCGUUGAAGCAUGAUCGUAAGGACAUGUGGAGCGCUUAGAAGUGAGAAUGCCGGUGUGAGUAGCGAAAGACGGGUGAGAAUCCCGUCCACCGAUUGACUAAGGUUUCCAGAGGAAGGCUCGUCCGCUCUGGGUUAGUCGGGUCCUAAGCUGAGGCCGACAGGCGUAGGCGAUGGAUAACAGGUUGAUAUUCCUGUACCACCUAUAAUCGUUUUAAUCGAUGGGGGGACGCAGUAGGAUAGGCGAAGCGUGCGAUUGGAUUGCACGUCUAAGCAGUAAGGCUGAGUAUUAGGCAAAUCCGGUACUCGUUAAGGCUGAGCUGUGAUGGGGAGAAGACAUUGUGUCUUCGAGUCGUUGAUUUCACACUGCCGAGAAAAGCCUCUAGAUAGAAAAUAGGUGCCCGUACCGCAAACCGACACAGGUAGUCAAGAUGAGAAUUCUAAGGUGAGCGAGCGAACUCUCGUUAAGGAACUCGGCAAAAUGACCCCGUAACUUCGGGAGAAGGGGUGCUCUUUAGGGUUAACGCCCAGAAGAGCCGCAGUGAAUAGGCCCAAGCGACUGUUUAUCAAAAACACAGGUCUCUGCUAAACCGUAAGGUGAUGUAUAGGGGCUGACGCCUGCCCGGUGCUGGAAGGUUAAGAGGAGUGGUUAGCUUCUGCGAAGCUACGAAUCGAAGCCCCAGUAAACGGCGGCCGUAACUAUAACGGUCCUAAGGUAGCGAAAUUCCUUGUCGGGUAAGUUCCGACCCGCACGAAAGGCGUAACGAUUUGGGCACUGUCUCAACGAGAGACUCGGUGAAAUCAUAGUACCUGUGAAGAUGCAGGUUACCCGCGACAGGACGGAAAGACCCCGUGGAGCUUUACUGUAGCCUGAUAUUGAAAUUCGGCACAGCUUGUACAGGAUAGGUAGGAGCCUUUGAAACGUGAGCGCUAGCUUACGUGGAGGCGCUGGUGGGAUACUACCCUAGCUGUGUUGGCUUUCUAACCCGCACCACUUAUCGUGGUGGGAGACAGUGUCAGGCGGGCAGUUUGACUGGGGCGGUCGCCUCCUAAAAGGUAACGGAGGCGCUCAAAGGUUCCCUCAGAAUGGUUGGAAAUCAUUCAUAGAGUGUAAAGGCAUAAGGGAGCUUGACUGCGAGACCUACAAGUCGAGCAGGGUCGAAAGACGGACUUAGUGAUCCGGUGGUUCCGCAUGGAAGGGCCAUCGCUCAACGGAUAAAAGCUACCCCGGGGAUAACAGGCUUAUCUCCCCCAAGAGUUCACAUCGACGGGGAGGUUUGGCACCUCGAUGUCGGCUCAUCGCAUCCUGGGGCUGUAGUCGGUCCCAAGGGUUGGGCUGUUCGCCCAUUAAAGCGGUACGCGAGCUGGGUUCAGAACGUCGUGAGACAGUUCGGUCCCUAUCCGUCGUGGGCGUAGGAAAUUUGAGAGGAGCUGUCCUUAGUACGAGAGGACCGGGAUGGACAUACCUCUGGUGUACCAGUUGUCGUGCCAACGGCAUAGCUGGGUAGCUAUGUGUGGACGGGAUAAGUGCUGAAAGCAUCUAAGCAUGAAGCCCCCCUCAAGAUGAGAUUUCCCAACUUCGGUUAUAAGAUCCCUCAAAGAUGAUGAGGUUAAUAGGUUCGAGGUGGAAGCAUGGUGACAUGUGGAGCUGACGAAUACUAAUCGAUCGAAGACUUAAUCAA
rnacentral:rRNA from 1 species